CUCACAUUGUCUUUGAUCCCUGUGGUCUAAAUGGCUGCAUUUUAUAGACUCAGAGGCAUUUAGUGUCUGUUAAGAAAAAAGAUAAUAACCUCCAAAUUCCUAUUGCCUUUUCCCAAAUUAUUUACAGAUUUCAGUUACUAACUGAAAAGAGGGCCUUCAUUCAAAUAUGAAUAAAGGAAGUGAUGUGGCAUUUACUCAACAUUUCAUUUUUUCUUCUUGGUUCUUUUUACUUUCCAGCUGUUCAGUGUCUUUUCUCUUAUGCCCAGACUAUAUACCAGCCUUACCAGUCUUGGCAGAGGAGAGAUGUCUGUCCCAAGAGGAAUAUUGGACUCUCUCCUGUCAUUUGCAUACAAUUCACCUACCCUAAGCUCUGUUUCCAAAGAUACUGGCCUUUCCAUGCUGAAAUGAUGAUAUUGCAAGUUAUCCUCUGCAAGUGAGAGAGUUAUUGUUUCUAAAGGACGUUUUCAUGGAAUCUUUCAUGACUCAAGCUCGGUCCAUUUUCAUUUUUGCUCUAGUCCUUGUUGCUCAACUUUUUACAAAUCAGCCUCAUUUAAAUAAUCUGAGGUACGGACCUAAGAUAAUUAUAAUUUAUUUAGCUUCUACCCUUAGCCCUAUCUUAUGCAAAAGGAAAUGGUGGCUAAGAAAGUUUAAGAAUCUAGUCCUCCUAGCAAAAACAUUGCAGAAGUAAAAUUUUAACCUGGGACUGUGUGAUGACAAAUCAUUACCUCUAUCCUGUUAACUCCUCUGGGGCCUU
rnacentral:lncRNA from 1 species